AUUGAACGCUGGCGGCAUGCUUCACACAUGCAAGUCGAACGGUAACAGGCCGCAAGGUGCUGACGAGUGGCGAACGGGUGAGUAAUGCAUCGGAACGUGCCCAGUCGUGGGGGAUAACGCAGCGAAAGCUGCGCUAAUACCGCAUACGAUCUCUGGAUGAAAGCGGGGGACCGAAAGGCCUCGCGCGAUUGGAGCGGCCGAUGUCAGAUUAGGUAGUUGGUGGGGUAAAGGCUCACCAAGCCAACGAUCUGUAGCUGGUCUGAGAGGACGACCAGACACACUGGGACUGAGACACGACCCAGACUCCUACGGGAGGCAGCAGUGGGGAAUUGUGGGCAAUGGGCGCAAGCCUGAUCCAGCAAUGCCGCGUGCAGGAAGAAGGCCUUCGGGUUGUAAACUGCUUUUGUACGGAACGAAACGGUCCUGGUUAAUACCUGGGGCUAAUGACGGUACCGUAAGAAUAAGCACCGGCUAACUACGUGCCAGCCGCCGCAGUAAGAC
rnacentral:rRNA from 1 species